UCACAUCGCUUCACAAGGUUUAGUGGAUUCAGAAGGACAUCUGGACUCCAGGAAAAUUUAAGCGUAGCAUUUUGAGACUUCCCUAAGGCCCCCUUCUCUAGUACGCAAUCGCGGAUUCACCAGCUUGAGUCAGUUGGCCUCAGUUUUGCUUUUGGAGGUUUAAGUCGGGUGGUGGGAAGAGAUACAUUUCCAUUCCUGAUAUGGCCACAAGAGGGAGCUCCCAAUGGUCGGCUGCACCUGAAAGUCCUGUCCGUGAAAACUGACAAAGAAAACUUGAUUUAAAAGGCGUCUUCUGAUAAACCUCAGCAUCUCCUUACUAACAUACUAAGAGCAAUCACUGAACACUUUUCGUAUGUUCAAUGCGUCCUCGCGGGAUCUGAGAAGCAUUGUCCUAUUAAAUCUCAGUCGUCUGAUUUUCAGCAUCAAUUUAUCUUGGGAGCUGCUCCUGCAUUUUAUAAGGUGAAUUCUACAGCAACGAGAUUAAAGAUUCAGAAAGUCUUAUUGGCUGUGCAAACUUGAGGGAGUUGCCUAACCACUCUGGGCCCUGUUUUCCUGGCUUUGCCACUCUUCAGCUGUGUGACCCGGGGAAGCUCUCAACCUCUUUGUGCCUCCAUUUCCACAUCUGUAAAAUGGGGAUAUGAAAGUGGCUGCUUUGUGAAGAGUCCUGAGAAUAAAUGAGUUAAGGAAAACUGAUAUGGAUAAAUAUGGAAGAGAGCUGGCCAGUGGAUGAAAUGGUGAUGUAAAGGUUAAGAGAAAUAAAAGCAGGAGACGAGGAGAGAGUCACACCACGGUGAGCAGAGAGUUGAGCUGGGGCCCGGGACAAGCAUCAAAAGUGUCACUUCCUCUGAGGUCCCAACCCUACUUCCAUAGGCUCUGCAGCCCACACCACCUUGGAACCAAACAGGGAGGUGGCAGAACUGAUGGGCUG
rnacentral:lncRNA from 1 species